UAUUAAAAUUUCAAGUUUUCUUAUAACACAUUUCUUAAAUAGUAUAUGAACUAAAGCUUAUUAUAUACUAUUAUAUUUUUGUAUAUAUAUAUAUAUUUAAACAAUAUAUUGUUGAGAGUUUCAAAAUAAACAAAAAGAUAAUAUAUAGUUGUAGAUAUAAAAUUUUAACUUGUGUUAAUAAAUUUACUUUUGUAUAAAAAUAUGAUAUAGUUUAUGAAUUUUAGCUCAUUUAAUGAUGAGUGAUAAUUUAUUUAAAUGUAACAAUUUUAAAAAAAAAUUCUUAAUUUUCAUUUUUAAUUCAUAAAUCACUUAUAUUUUUUUUAUAAAAUACAGAAUAUAAUUAUAAAAUUUUUAUUUUCUUGUUUUAGAAUAAAAUUUUAAUUAAAUUUAAUGUAUAAUAAUAUUAUAUUACUAAUUAUGAAAUUAAUUAAUGUGUUAUCUUAUAAAAAUAUUUAAUUUUUUGUAAGAUUUUAUUAGAUUGUUUCUCAACAGAUUUUGUUAUAAUUGAAAAAAUAAAAUUUAAUUUAUUGUUGAUUUAUUAUUAAUGUAAAUAAUCAAAUAUAUAAUAUUAACUAAUUCUUUAAGUGGUUUUAUUAUGACUGUUAAUCGUAGAUAAAAAUAUGAUCCUAAAUUAAUAGAUUAGAUGUAAUAACCGAUUAAGACAUGAGUCUGUAAAUACUUUGCUGUAAAAAAAAAUAAAAAAAAAACCGAUUAAGACUAGCGAUCUGAAUAGAUCAAUGAAACAUGUAUUUAAAAUUUAAACCGAGAUCGUUACAAACUGUCUGAAAAGAUGUUUUAAAGUUUAUGUUUGCUGGUGGCUGUAAAAGCACCACAUUGGUAAAUGUUUUCAAAAUGGAGUUUAGACAAGAAAAUAUAUGAUUUUAAUAUAAUAUAAUGAAUGAAUUAAAAUUUAACAUUAAUAAGAAAUUGAACCUGUUGAAACAAGACAUAUGUAUUAAGAGUUUCUCAUAAAAUUUCAUAAAUUUUCAUAUGAGAUUCUCUUUUUACUCUCUUUCAUAAUUUUUGACCAUUUUCAUUUUAUAUAUUACUCAGAUACUUGUUGAGUUCUCUAUAACGUAAAUACUCAAACCUUUGGACGCGGACUUUGAAAGUUCAAAUUCAUGAAUGAUUCAUUUUAGGGACUUGUCCAUGACUUUGUUUGACGGUAUUUCUAUAAAAAUGGACUACUGCAUGUUCAAGAGAAUCGUAACUUUGUUCGUCGGUUCUAUCGUUAAGCUUUGCACAUCUCAUUGGUAAAAUAAACAAACAAACUAAUGUUUUUGGUCUAAUAAACUAACUAACAAACUAAUGUUUGAGUCACAUAUCAUAUUAUCAAUCAUUUUUGAGCAUGACAAAUUUUAUUUCUAAAUCACAGAAACAAAGCUUUGUUAUUGGAGAUAGCUUGCUUUUUUCCCUUGACAAGAUCUAUUGAGUAAACUAAUCUCGGUCCAUUAGACUAUGUCGACUUAAAUAUUAAAAAAGAAAAAGAAAAACGCCUAUAAGUAGAGAAGACCUAGUUCAAAGAAGACAUAAUGAAAUUCACGCAAAAAUCAACACAAGAAUUAGAAGGUUCACAUCUUAAUUGUUUUUGUCGAGUUCUUAACUUAAACGAGUUUUUUAUAUUUUCUUGUAAUCAACCUUUGAUAUCUCAGUAUACGUCUUUCAAAUAACUUAUCAUUGAAUUUGUGCCUAUUUAAUUGUAUGUGCCAAAUUCAAAUUAAGUAAUUAUCAUUAUCUAUAGAAAACUAAAAAGUAACGCCAAGAAAGAUCAUAACUGGCUGGAGACGAUACUCAUAUAUGCACAUGCACUAUCCCGUCGGUCACAGAUUUCACCACUAUGAUGACCAUGAUUCAAAACCUAAUAUAAUGGAACGUCUCAAUCAACAAGAUAACCAAACAAAGCAAUCAAUGAGCGCCUAGAUGUCCUAGUCGCCGGUUUUACACCACCUGAUGAUGGAAACUACAAGAAAAUAAUUCUCCUAUACAAAAUUGAAUCUAACAGUUCAAGGAGCCACAAUGACUCAGACCAACCACACAACAUCUCAACAAAUUGAUGUUCUUCGGAGUUUGAUAUAGGAUCAAAGAUCCAUUUGGUAAAGAGUUUGGCUCCCGGGAAAUAGUGUGUCCUUUUUAAAACGCAAAAGACUCCUUCACAUAAAGAUCACCAACGUCAGAGUCCAAUAUUGGGUUAAGCUAAAAGUACUAUAUUUCUCAGGCGAAUAUGAUCCUAGCGAUUAUAUGAUUGUGUUCAACAUAGCCUUGGAACAAGCACAAUUUACCGCUGAGGAGAAAGAUGCAGAAUAUUAUGAAUUGUUCGUGGAAAAUUUCAACAGACCGGUUUUGACAUGGUUCUCAAGGCUCAAAGAGGAUUUUGUUGACAGUUUUUACGGACUGUACCGAAUUAUUUAAACAUUACUCGAUGUUCAUCUGACAAGGGGAUUCAGCGAGAAAGAAGAGCUCAUGGUUUUCAUGGAAAAAUUUAAAGAACUGGUCUCCAAAGUUCACGUUCUAGAUGCCACAGCAGUGGAGUCUCUGCGUAAUGCACUGUGGACACACUCGCCCUUCAAAAAAGAUCUAUACACUAACAACAACAUCUCGUUGGAGGAUGCUCUCCAUCGUGUCCACUGCUUUAUCACAAUGAAAGAAGAUAAACAUGCCUACAUGAUUAAGCACAAUGCGAUCAAGAGCUUCAUAGCCGUAAAAGUUGAAUAUACAUAUCAAGAACCUCGAAAACACUCAUCCUACAACAAGCAAGAUAAGAAAAAUUCAAACUAUUUACUCUGUUGCCGGGAAGAACCUAUUGAUUCAGCUGUAAUCAUUAUGGUCAAAAUCUAGGUUAGAUUCUUUCUUAUUAUACUCAAAAGACUUUUAAAAAACAAAUCUGACCUGAAAAUGAAAUGCAUUUGGCAAAAAAAAAGAUCGGCGUCAUGCUUUUUUUUUGUCAGCAACAAAACAGACUAAUAUAGAUUCUGUAAACCAAACUGGUAGCUCCGCAUCUUACAAACGAAGGUUGCUUUCUUGCACUACGUGCUAGACUGUCCGUCCUUGAAUUAAGCGUCCUUGAUAUAUGGAUGAGCUCUGAGCUGUGAAAACUUCUUUGCAGGAUCUUGAUAUUCAUCCAGAUAACUUGUAAAUGCGGGUCAUUCUUCAGAUUCAGAAACCAUCUUCAGCAACUAAGAACAAUCCGUCGCAAAAGUAACAGUAUGUCUUAAAUUCCUCAUACAUUCCAUUGCCCAAAUGAGCGCUUUUAUCUCCGAAUGAAGGGGUGAUUGAUACACUCUAGUAUUCCUUGCUCCCAUCAAACUAUCAAAUCCUUCCAAAGUACUACACCAUCCUUGUCCCGAAUAUCUAUCAUGUUCUUUCCAUGAUCCAUCCGGAAAACACCAUCUACCAGGGAUAGUGGGUACCGUUGCGUUCACUACCGAUCGGGCCUGAUCAGAUCUCUGUGCAUGAUUAAUUUGCGCCUCAGCCCAGAGUACCGACUCUGUUUCCGCCAACUUGAAAAUAUCGCGGGGGUCAAUAUUCAAAUUGAUAAAAACUUUGUUGUUUUUUCCUUUCCAUAUAUACCAUAGAAUCCAUGCAAAAUGGUGAUCGGCGUCAUGCUUAAAAUUGAAGAACUUGGUUAUUUCAACUAAAUAUCUCCAACUAAGUGAAAAAUAUUUUUUCUCCGCACAUGAAAAACAUGCAUCAGUCUAAAAAGCAAUUACUAGUGUUUUCAGUUUUAACUAUGUUCUUACAUAUUGAACAACAAUAACUAUUUUCAUAUUAGAAAGAUAAGAACUACAGUAAAUUUUAUUUUCAUAUAUACGAAAGUGUAUUUUUCAAAAAACUUAUAUAAUGGUGUAAUUUUUAAAAUAAAAUCUCGAGUAAUAGUAUUUCUCCAAAUUUUCCCUAAACUUUAAGAUAAUUAAAUACUUUUGGGGAAUAUUGUAAGAAAAUCUACUUCUAUAUUUUCGUGGAAAAUAAAUGGUACAUUUUGACAGAUCAUGGUGCAUAACAGAUAUCAUUCCAUUUUAAAUAUCAUAAUUGUAUCUUACAUAUUAAGUAUGAGGAUGACUAUUAAAAGUUUGAAGUGGAAAUAAAAAAAAUCUCUAAAAUUGUCAUAAAGUCAAAGAUAUAUUUACUUUAAAAUGACAUAAAAAUUAAAUACCCAUAUGUAACAACUCUCUAUAAAUAACAAAUAUACUCUUUCAUUUCCAACAUCAUCUUUUAUUUAUUUGUUAAAAGUAUUUUUGAGAAUGCCAGAAAACAAAAGAGGUCGUCAAAAAGUACCGAUUGCGAAAAUGGAGAAGGAUGCCAACCUUCAAGUUACCUUUUCAAAGAGACGACAAGGUCUUUUUAAAAAAGCUAGUGAACUUUGCACCUUAUGUCGUGUAGGAAUGGGAGUAAUUGUGUUUUCACCAGGCCAAAAAGUAUUUUCUUUUGGCAAUCCAGAUGUUAAAUCUGUACUCGAUAAUUUCAAAAAUCACAACCAUAAUCCUCUUUUAUAUACCCAAGACGGUUUGAACCCAACAAUCCAAAAUCUCAACAGCUUACUUACUCAGGAGAUGGCAAUCCUUGAAAUGGAGAAAAAAAGGAAGAAAGAGUUGGAUGAGAUAAAAAAUAAGAGAGAAGAAACAGAAAAAUGGUGGGAAAAACCUCCGAAUCAACUUGACUUAAGGCAAAACACUUGUCUAACUAGUGCUCUGGAAAAUCUGAAAAUGGAGUUGGUAAGUCAACGGUCCCAACACUUGCAAGCAAUUGAUCCUCCCAAUCAUUAUGGCGAAAGUUACAACAACAUUGUUGGUGGUGGCAAUGUCGAUCUUUUCGACCAAACAAGAAUGUUCGAUGGGAAUGCAUCCAACUAUAAUCCCAAUUCGAUUAUUUCUAAUCAUGGACCCAUGUUCGGAAAUAAUGAUAACACCAAUGUCUUUGAAGCACUCGGUCCAAGAUCCAAUCUGAAUUUGCCUGAGUAGAACCAUGAUCAAUACAAGGACCAAGGUCUGAAGGAAGAAGGAAGAGGCAACAUAAUCCCAAUCAUGAUUUUCAUCACCUUCGACGUUGUUAUCUUGUUUGUCUAUUUUAAAUAAUUUAAUCUGUUGACAAAAAAAUCAAUAAUCUAUGUAUAAGAUAUUUGUUUCUUUUCCUUUUGUUGUUUUUCUGUUCUGUCAACAUUUUCUUUGAUGUUGUUUGUUGUGUGUGUUUAGCAUGUGUGCAUCUUUUACUUAGUCCAUUCGUUAAACCAUGUAAUUUCAUAUGGACUGUCCUUACUGUUACAUUGUGCGAUGCAGACCACGCUGAACAAGGACAGAAUAGAUAACUGCAUAAACUAGUGGAUCUUCAUUGCUUAGCAUAAACAUAAUUUUUUUUUUGGUAUGAGACAUUCUUUUAUGGUAUGAGUAACUUAUCAUUUCAUAAUAGUCUUUUUUUUUUGUUGAUAAAUAUGUGAAUUUCAUUAAAAUGAAGCUAAUUUGUACAAACAAAAAGUUAUGCAAUCAAGCCAAACGAUGCCAUAAAAAGUUAAAAACACCAAAAAAACUUUGAAAUUGGUAUUAUACAUCACCAAUUAACAUUUCAAAAAUGCUUUAGCCAAACUUGCAUGAGACCUCUGAAUUUCCUUCGCUUUUUCCUUGCAAGGAUUGAGUUACGUAUUAGCCUGUCUAGGUCAUUGAGGAUCUUUUGAGGCGUAGAAGAGGUUGUGUUGUGAAGAUGGUUAUUAAUGCGUUCUGCCGAGAGCUGGUAGAUUGUUGCUUGAGCAGCAAGCCAACGGAGCGUUGUAGGGCAUGUGGAGUCUGAUGAACUAAGCCAGUCACCAAAGGCUGUCCAAGUAUGGAACAGAGUAGGCCGGUAGCUUAGACGUUUGGUCACAAGGUGCCAGACUUGUUCACUGAAGCUGCAUCUCAGAAAUAAAUGGUCUCUUGUCUCAGCACAUCCAUCACAAAGAAGGCAAGAUGCAUCAAUACAUGGGUCCCAAGUAGCAAGCCGUGCGCGAGUAGGCAACCUAUCCUGUUGAGUAACCCACAUAUGAAAGGCGUGCUUUGGAGUAUGACCUUUAAACCAGACAAGAGAAACCCAAUCAACUUUCUCUCCUCUAUGCCUGAUAGCUUCCCAUGUAAAGCUGGUGUGAAACUUAGACAAGCUGACUUAAUUUACGAACCAUUUAUAAAUGUCAGGAGAUCCAGAUUGAGCUGGUAGCGGCACUGAACAGAGCACCUGAAGAUGCUCCGCUUUAGGCGAUCUGGCAGGACGGAUAAGCCAGCCAUUGCUUGGACAGCUCUCUCUCUCUCUCUCUCUGAUUGUUGCAUUCAGCGGUAUACGGAGAUACUGAGGCCCAUUAUAACCAAAGAACCUGAUCAGAGGACCUAGUGGCAGCCAAUGAUCAUACCAGAAGCUGGCCGAAAUACCAUUUCUCACUUCGCAUCUUAAUUAAAAAUUGUUCAGCUAAGGGCCGGAUGCGAAGGAUGGAUUUCCAAAUCCAAGACUGGUGCUUCUUCUCACCAAAGCUCCAAAAGCUUGCACCUUUUAGCCUGUUUCUUUUCAUCCAAGAUACCCACAGAGAUUCAUUUUCACAGUGAAGCAACCACAACAGUUUGAGGGGAAGAGUUUCAUUUCAGAAUAAUUGAUGGCUUGUUUUCAAUCUUUCUUUCCUAGCUUUCAUGUGACGUAUGUUGUUUUUCCUUGCAGGACAAAAGCCUGACUGCUACAAUUCAUGUGAAGAUGUUCGUGACACGUAUAGAAACAAAUGUUGGGAUUUUAUGAAUCCAGAUUUGAUUGACCAAGUGGGUGCUAAUAAAAAGGUUUCUCACCUUAUUGGAUUGAAAUUUCAAAUAUAUGGUUUAUAAUUCAGUAAAACAAUCAGUUUUGUAAAAUAUAUAGAUUGUAUUCACAUUUAUGUACUGCUAAAUAUCAUAUAUGUAAUUGCAAUUUAUUUUAGCAUGUCCUAGCUGGUCACUGAGCUAACGAUUAUCAUCCUUACUUGAUUGCUCCAUGGGAAGCUUACGGUUGUCUCAUUGAGUCUUCUAUUGUAUCCAUCUGAGGUCCUGUUAAGGCAUUUGUCGACAUUUUGCCAUCUCUAACUUGCAUGUUUAAUAUAAAAUUUAUCUGCAACCUAACAAAAGCAUGCAAUACCCAUCUCUUCUUUUGUGGUGUGGUUUUAAUAUUUACAGGCUCAUGCCAUCUUCUUGAAGAAUGUGAACAAGUCCGUGAUUGAUACAGUGACUAGACAUAUUGAACAUGUGCAUGAAUAAAAGCAAUACCGAACUCUGAGAGUGGAGCUGGCAAAUGCGGCUAAAUAGCUGGUCCAGAUGUGGAAGGCGGCGGUCAGCUAUUUCUAUGGCUGUAGGCAAUUGGCCGUGGGUCAGACUUCAACGAGAAAGACCAGAUCCGGUAGAUAGGAUUAUUAUCCUAUUUCCAGGGGCUCUAUGUGCCAGAUCUGGACAACCCGGCGCUCAACUCUUCUUCCGGCGAUGGCUCUGUUUUUAUGCUCACGUCCACAGGUGUUCUCUCUUCCUCCCCGAUGUCACCUACUUUUUUUUUUUAAAGGGUUAAACCCUGAUCUAUUAAAAACACAGACCUAACUCCCGGGUAGAAGGUGCAACCUACGGAUGGAUCCUCUUCCGGGUACUCAAAUGGGCCGUAAGCAUGGACCCAUAUCCGCGUGGCCACAUGUAGAGCUAAUAAUUUCGGACUAGAGGAAAGUCAGAUGUCACCUACUUUUUCCCUUCCACUUAGCCACUAUUUGUCUUUAAUCCCAGCCGGAGGUUACUGUUUUGGUUGCCGUUUAGGGUUCAAAAUCAAUAAAUAAAAAGUUUCACUAAAAAAAAGAAAAAAGAAA